rnacentral:rRNA from 1 species
GACGAACGCUGGCGGCGUGCUUAACACAUGCAAGUCGAACGAUGAACCCGGAGCUUGCUCCGGUGGAUUAGUGGCGAACGGGUGAGUAACACGUGAGUAACCUGCCCUUGACUCUGGGAUAACUGCGGGAAACUGUAGCUAAUACCGGAUACGACCCUCGGCGGCAUCGCCAGGGGGUGGAAAGAAUUUCGGUCAAGGAUGGACUCGCGGCCUAUCAGCUAGUUGGUGAGGUAACGGCUCACCAAGGCGACGACGGGUAGCCGGCCUGAGAGGGUGACCGGCCACACUGGGACCGAGACACGGCCCAGACUCCUACGGGAGGCAGCAGUGGGGAAUAUUGCGCAAUGGGCGAAAGCCUGACGCAGCAACGCCGCGUGCGGGAUGACGGCCUUCGGGUUGUAAACCGCUUUCAGCAGGGAAGAAGCCGCAAGGUGACGGUACCUGCAGAAGAAGCACCGGCUAACUACGUGCCAGCCGCCGCGGUAA